rnacentral:rRNA from 1 species
UACCAGACUCCUACGGGAGGCAGCAGUGGGGAAUAUUGCACAAUGGGCGAAAGCCUGAUGCAGCAACGCCGCGUGAAGGAAGAAGGGUUUCGGCUCGUAAACUUCUAUCAACAGGGACGAAAGAAAUGACGGUACCUGAAUAAGAAGCCCCGGCUAACUCCGUGCCAGCAGCCGCGGUAAUACGGAGGAUGCGAGCGUUAUCCGGAUUUAUUGGGUUUAAAGGGAGCGUAGACGGCAUGGCAAGUCAGAUGUGAAAGCCCGGGGCUCAACCCCGGGACUGCAUUUGAAACUGUCAGGCUGGAGUGCGGGAGAGGUAAGUGGAAUUCCUAGUGUAGCGGUGAAAUGCGUAGAUAUUAGGAGGAACACCAGUGGCGAAGGCGGCUUACUGGACUGUAACUGACGUUGAGGCUCGAAAGCGUGGGGAGCAAACAGGAUUAGAUACCCCAGUAUC